CCGCGCUUCUGGUUGACGUGGAAAUAGCCGACGCCCUCGUUGUCGCCGGUGUUGAAGUCGGCGCUGCGCGGGAUCCCCAUCUCGCAGGCGGCGU
rnacentral:tRNA from 1 species